rnacentral:rRNA from 1 species
UAGUUGGUUAGGUAACGGCUUACCAAGCCAUUGAUCGGUACGGGUUGUGAGAGCAAGAGCCCGGAGAUGGAACCUGAGACAAGGUUCCAGGCCCUACGGGGUGCAGCAGGCGCGAAACCUCCGCAAUGUGAGAAAUCGCGACGGGGGGAUCCCAAGUGCCAUUCUUAACGGGAUGGCUUUUCAUUAGUGUAAAGAGCUUUUGGAAUAAGGGCUGGGCAAGACCGGUGCCAGCCGCCGCGGUAACACCGGCAGCUCUAGUGGUAGCAGUUUUUAUUGGGCCUAAAGCGUCCGUAGCCGGUUUAAUAAGUCUCUGGUGAAAUCCUGUAGCUUAACUGUGGGAAUUGCUGGAGAUACUAUUAGACUUGAGACCGGGAGAGGUUAGAGGUACUCCCAGGGUAGAGGUGAAAUUCUGUAAUCCUGGGAGGACCGCCUGUUGCGAAGGCGUCUAACUGGAACGGUUCUGACGGUGAGGGACGAAAGUUAGGGGCGCGAACCGGAUUAGAUACCCGGGUAGUCCUAACUGUAAACGAUGCGGACUUGGUGUUGGGGUGGCUUUGAGCUGCUCCAGUGCCGAAGGGAAGCUGUUAAGUCCGCCGCCUGGGAAGUACGGUCGCAAGACUGAAACUUAA